CCUGACCAUUCAUCUUGGGAGCACUAUUUGAUAGCAUGGAGAGACUCUUCCCUUUCCCCCCUCCCCCACCACUUCCCAGUACAUUUUGGAUUGAGUACAUCUCAGAAGUGAAGCCCUUCUUUCUGUAUGAUGAUAAUGGGCAUGAUCAAAAUGUAUUUCCUUCUGACUGAAAGCCAGAAGAGUUUUGCUUCAGUGGAAUUCACUGUCUUUAGGAGAAAAGAUGUGAUCAGAAUAGGAAUGCUGAAUUCAAGAUACCUUUUCUGCUGGACCAGUGAUAAAAUUCCAAUGAUCAUUGGCAGAAGGCUCAGCACUUCUUGUGGCACACAUGGUGAGAUGGAUGGAUGCUGUUACUGGAAUGCAUCUUCAAAAUUUCUAAAGAUCUGUGAUUUCAACCAUUUGGUAAUUCCCUCUAUAUGCAGAUUGACUCUCUUUCAUGCCCUCAAUAUUUUUUUUUCUUUCAUGAGUUCCCUUGGUCAGAGAAUUCAUCUGGUGGCCAAAUUUUUGGUGAUGAGCCUCUUUCAGUUUUGGAAACUGGUCUUCUUAACACUUUUUUUUGUUGGACCUGUGCUUAUUAACUUUCAAGCUUGGGUAGUAUCUGUUGGAAAUAGUCUCCUGUCAUAG
rnacentral:lncRNA from 1 species